rnacentral:rRNA from 1 species
GUUGAACGCUGGCGGCGUGCCUAAUACAUGCAAGUCGAGCGAACGGACGAGAAGCUUGCUUCUCUGAUGUUAGCGGCGGACGGGUGAGUAACACGUGGAUAACCUACCUAUAAGACUGGGAUAACUUCGGGAAACCGGAGCUAAUACCGGAUAAUAUUUUGAACCGCAUGGUUCAAAAGUGAAAGACGGUCUUGCUGUCACUUAUAGAUGGAUCCGCGCUGCAUUAGCUAGUUGGUAAGGUAACGGCUUACCAAGGCAACGAUGCAUAGCCGACCUGAGAGGGUGAUCGGCCACACUGGAACUGAGACACGGUCCAGACUCCUACGGGAGGCAGCAGUAGGGUAUCUUCCGCAAUGGGCGAAAGCCUGACGGAGCAACGCCGCGUGAGUGAUGAAGGUCUUCGGAUCGUAAAACUCUGUUAUUAGGGAAGAACAUAUGUGUAAGUAACUGUGCACAUCUUGACGGUACCUAAUCAGAAAGCCACGGCUAACUACGUG